rnacentral:tRNA from 1 species
UAGAUAUAAGCAUUAGCGAUUUCAUUGUUAAUGAAAGGAGAGGGUAAAGAAAGGGCAUUUUAGAGGCGGCUAG